GGGACAGUGGCGCAGUGCUUUGUGCUGUUGUCUCUUACGAAGGAGGUUCUGGGUGCGAGUCCCAGCAGCCCA